rnacentral:rRNA from 1 species
UACGGAGGGUGCAAGCAUUAAUCGGAUUUAUUGGGCGUACAGGGCGCGUAGGCGGAAAUGUAAGUCAGAUGUGAAAUCCCGGGGCUCAACUCCGGAACUGCAUUUGAAACUACAUUCCUUGAGGGUAGGCGGAGAAAACGGAAUUCCACAAGUAGCGGUGAAAUGCGUAGAUAUGUGGAAGAACACCUGUGGCGAAAGCGGUUUUCUAGCUUACUCCUGACGCUAAGGCGCGAAAGUUAGGGGAGCAAACAGG